rnacentral:siRNA from 1 species
CAAGAAGAUCGGCUUUGCAAC